rnacentral:rRNA from 1 species
CAUGCAAGUCGAGCGGGGAUUAUCGAAUGAAGUUUUCGGAUGGAAUUUGGUGAUUCUAGCGGCGGACGGGUGAGUAACGCGUGAGCAACCUGCCUUUCACAGGGGGAUAACGCAUCGAAAGGUGCACUAAUACCGCAUGAGACCACGCUCCCGACAUGAGAGAGGGGUCAAAGGAGCAAUCCGGUGAGAGAUGGGCUCGCGUCUGAUUAGCUAGUUGGUGAGGUAACGGCCCACCAAGGCGACGAUCAGUAGCCGACCUGAGAGGGUGAUCGGCCACAUUGGAACUGAGAGACGGUCCAAACUCCUACGGGAGGCAGCAGUGGGGAAUAUUGGGCAAUGGGGGAAACCCUGACCCAGCAACGCCGCGUGAAGGAAGAAGGUUUUCGGAUCGUAAACUUCUAUCCUUGGUGAAAAUAGUGAUGGUAGCCAAGAAGGAAGCCCCGGCUAACUACGUGCCAGCAGCCGCGGUAAUACGUAGGGGGCAAGCGUUGUCCGGAAUGAUUGGGCGUAAAGGGCGCGUAGGCGGCCUGGUAAGUUUGAAGUGAAAGUCCUUCUUUUAAGGAGGGAACUGCUUUGAAAACUGUCGGGCUUGAGUGCAGGAGAGGUAAGCGGAAUUCCCGGUGUAGCGGUGAAAUGCGUAGAGAUCGGGAGGAACACCAGUGGCGAAGGCGGCUUACUGGACUGUUACUGACGCUGAGGCGCGAAAGUGUGGGGAGCAAACAGGAUUAGAUACCCUGGUAGUCCACACUGUAAACGAUGAAUGCUAGGUGUAGGGGGUAUCGACCCCUUCUGUGCCGGAGUAAACACAAUAAGCAUUCCGCCUGGGGAGUACGGCCGCA